rnacentral:lncRNA from 1 species
GGGGGGGGGGGGGGAACGGUGGCCCUAAGGGGCCAAGUAGCUUUGUAUGAAGGGAGUAAGUGUUGUGGUGUUGAAAGGUAGCACUAAACAUGGCACCAAAGGAGAGGAUACAAUCUGAUUAUUACAGUGAUGACGACAUGUUAGGAAAACACAUUGAGGCUUGUUACCUCGGAGUUAGGCUCAGGUAUAUAUCUUUGGGCUAGGGGGUGGUAUUUUCACAUCCGGAUGAAAAGCAUGCCCAAAGUAAACUGCCUGCUACUCAGGCCCAGAAGCUAGGAUAUGCAUAUAAUUGGUAGAUUUGGAUAGAAAACACUCUAAAGUUUCUACAACUGUUAAAAUAAGGUCUGUGAGUAUAACAGAACUUAUUUGGCAGGCGAAGCCCCGAGGACAAACCAUCCAGGAUUAGUUUUUUGUUGAGUUGACUGUGUUUUCUAUUGGUUUUCUAUGGUAAACUAGAUUUAUGAGGCACCUGGUUGCAAUUCCUAUGGCUUCCACUAGAUGUCAACAGUCUUUAGAAAUUGGUUGAUGUUUUUCCUUUGAGAAAUGAAGUAGUACGGCUAUUCAGAAUGAGAGUCAAGCCAAGUGGACUCUUGUUUGGGGCGAGCGACCUGCAGCUCGCUCCACUUUGAUUUUAUCCGCUAUUGAACACAGUAUAUUCCGUCUUAAAUUUGAUCGAUUAUUUACGUUUUAGGAUACCUAAGUAAGGUAUGAAGUAAGGCAUGAAUUAUAUCGUUAUUUCUGACUUUUUUUGUCGCACUUCCCGAUUGAAAAAUGUUUGUCAUGCAUUUGUAUGCGGGGUGCUGUCCUCAGAUAAUCGCAUGGUUUGCUUUCGCCGUAAAGCCUUUUUGAAAUCUGACAUGGUGGCUGGAUUAACAAGAAGUUAAGCUUUAUUUUUUAUGUAUUACACUUGUGAUUUCGUGAAAGUUAAAUAUUUAUAGUAAUUUAAUUUGAAUUUGGUGCUCUGCCAUUUCACCGGAUGUUGUCAAAUCGAUCCUGCUAAAGGGAUUUGAUCCCUAAGAAGUUUUAAAACACAUUGUGGCUUGUUACCUGGGAGUUAGGCUCAGGUAUUUAAAACAGAUUGAGGCUUGUUACCUGGGCGUUAGGCUCAGGUAUUUAAAACACAUUGUGUCUUGUUACCUGGGAGUUAGGCUCAGGUAUUUAAAACACAUUGUGUCUUGUUACCUGGGAGUUAGGCUCAGGUAUUUAAAACACAUUGUGGCUUGUUACCUGGGAGUUAGGCUCAGGUAUUUAAAACACAUUGAGGCUUGUUACCUGGGAGUUGGGCUCAAGUAUUUAAAACACAGUGUGGCUUGUUACCUGGGAGUUAGUCUCAGGUAUUUAAAACACAUUGUGGCUUGUUACCUGGGAGUUAGGCUCAGGUAUUUAAAACACAUUGUGGCUUGUUACCUGGGAGUUAGGCUCAGGUAUUUUACUCUUGAUAAAAUACACUUCUACUGCUCUCAUCUUGCUCAGGUGAAUGGUCCCAUCAGCGCUUGUGAGCACACCCUUACAGUAUUAGAUAGGGAGAACUGAGGUGUAGUCAAUAUUCUCUUCUGCAACAGAAGUCCUUCAACCCAUCAUGGGUCCACAAAGACCGGUUCUUUCCCUGUCGUAUUUAAAUGCAGUGUUUAUGUAGCUCUCAUAUGCAUAGAAAUGUCCCAAAUGGAACCCUAUUCCUUAUAUACAGCUAUGGGCCCUCGUCUAAAGCAUUGCACUGGAUAGGGAAUAUGGUGCUAUUUGGGAUGCAACCCUAAGUAUUCUCUGACUCUUCAACUGGCCCACUAGCCAAGUUCAUGUUUUAAUGGGGGAUCUGGCGGUCAGAUUGAUUCUUUAACUGGCCCACUAGACAAGUUCAUGUUUUAAUGGGGGAUCUGGCCUUCAGACUGAUUAUUCAACUGGCCCACUAGCCAAGUUCUUGUUUUAAUGGGGGAUCUGGCCUUUAGACUGAUUCUUCAACUGGCCCACUAGCCACGGUCGUGUUUUAAUGGGGGAUCUGGCUUUCAGACUGAUUCUUCAACUGGCCCACUAGCCAAGUACAUGUUUUAAUGGGGGAUCUGGCCUUCUGACUGAUUCUUCAACUGGCCCACUAGCCAAGUUUAUGUUUUAAUGGGGGAUCUGGCCUUCAGACUGAUUUUUCAACUGGCCCUCUAGCCAAGUACAUGUUUUAAUGGGAGAUCUGGCCUUCAGACUGAUUCUUCAACUGGCCCACUAGCCAAGUGUAUGUUUGAAUAGGGGAUCUGGCCUUCUGACUGAUUCUUCAACUGGCCCACAAGCCAAGUUCAUGUUUUAAUGGGGGAUCUGGCCUUCAGACUGAUUAUUCAACUGGCCCACUAGCCAAGUUCAUGUUUUAAUGGGGGAUCUGGCCUUCAGACUGAUUCUUCAACUGGCCCACUAGCCAAGUUCGUGUUUUAAUGGGGGAUCUGGCCUUCAGACUGAUUCUUCAACUGGCCCACUAGCCAAGUACAUGUUUUAAUGGGGGAUCUGGCUUUCAGACUGAUUCUUCAACUGGCCCACUAGCCAAGUACAUGUUUUAAUGGGGGAUCUGGCCUUCAGACUGAUUCUUCAACUGGCCCACUAGCCAAGUUCAUGUUUUAAUGGGGGAUCUGGCCUUCAGACUGAUUCUUCAACUGGCCCACUAGCCAAGUGUAUGUUUGAAUAGGGGAUCUGGCCUUCUGACUGAUUCUUCAACUGGCCCACAAGCCAAGUUCAUGUUUUAAUGGGGGAUAUGGCCUUCAGACUGGUUCAACUGGCCCACUAGACAAGCUCAUGUUUUAAUGGGGAAUCUGGCCUUCAGACCGUUAACAUUGCUGUUGUUGUGACUGACUGACUAAUUGACUGUCUGACUGUCUGACUGACUAACUGGCUGACUGUCUGUCUGACUGUCUGACUGGCUGUCAGACUGUUAUGCUGACUGGAUGACUGACUGACUGACUGGCUGACUGUCUGACUGGCUGUCUGACUGGCUGACUGGCUGUCUGACUGGCUGUCUGACUGUCUGACUGGCUGUCAGACUGUUAUGCUGACUGGAUGACUGGCUGACUGGCUGUCAGACUGACUGUCUAUCUGACUGACUGACUGACUGGCUGACUGUCUGACUGGCUGUCUGGCUGUCUGACUGGCUGUCUGACUGGCUGUCUGACUGGCUGACUGUCUGGCUGGCUGACUGGCUGGCUGACUAGCUGACUGGCUGACUGGCUGGCUGACUAGCUGACUGACUGACUGGCUGACUGGCUGUUGUGUUUCCCUCGGGUUGUUUGAUAAACCCCCAGAAGACUCCUGUAUAAUAAUCCAGAUAAACCCCCAGAGGACUCCUGUAUAAUGAUCCAGAUAAACCCCCAGAGGACUCCUGUAUAAUGAUCCAGAUAAACCCCCAGAGGACUCCUGUAUAAUGAUCCGGAUAAACCCCCAGAGGACUCCUGUAUAUUGAUCCGGAUAAACCCCCAGAGGACUCCUGUAUAAUGAUCCGGAUAAACCCCCAGAGGACUCCUGUAUAAUGAUCCAGAUAAACCCCCCCCGAGGACUCCUGUAUAAUGAUCCAGAUAAACCCCCAGAGGACUCCUGUAUAAUGAUCCAGAUAAAAAGCUGUAUAAAGGGUGAUGUUAAAGCCUUUUAACGACCCACAUACCCAGAGUAUUUACCCCCACCCUUACCCAUCAUUACACCACCAACCAUUUCCAUAUCUUCAGUGAUUGGAUCACCCUGAAGGGAGUCAACGUGAACACAUUUCUUACAGACUGAUAAUAUGUCAUCUCUACUAAUGCCACAGAGGAAUUCUUAUCUUCCACACUGUAUUUGUUGAUAAAGGGGAUUCCUAUCCUACUCACUUUAAAUGUUGUUAUCAUUAUUAUUUUGUUUUCUGUAUCAGAAGUGAGUAGACUCUAUCAGAGGGAUGUGAUUGAAAACAGUAUUUCAGGGUUGGUUUAGUAGAUGGGUGCUUUGAGUUUUACCUGAAGAAUCAUAACGUUUAUGAUUUAUUGAUUUUCACAAUCCUGUUUGUGUUUGCACUGAACAUUGCAGUUUAGCAUGAAAUUAUUAGUAAAAAGUAAAAUAUUGUAGGUUUAUUUUCCACAGCACAGAAAUGAAGGAUGAGCAGUUCAUGGUGAAUACUUGAUAUCUGGAAGAGACCAUAGUUAAAAAGUCCAUAAAUACUGACAGCUUUUGUAGCUACACUUAUCUACCUUAUUACAUAUGAUUAAUUGGAUAACUUUGGCUGGUAAAAUGCUAUUUUCUUUUGGUACUUAUCUCAUGAAUCUCCUAUGUUUUGGAUUGACGGGUUCACAAAGUGCUAACGGGUAUUUCUACGGGAGAGAAGAUACACAGUGCCAAACUAAUGUACAUUAAGUAUUAGAAUUGGAAGGUCCAGGGAGCCAGAAUCACACUAGCUUUUAGAUUAAACUGAGAAAAUCCCAUUAAAUCUGACUCCAGAAAUAUGUUAUUAAUCAACUGUCAAGGGGUGAGUGUAACUGGUGCAUGGAAGUCAGGCGCAGGAGAGCAGAGAUGAGUGGACAAAGCACUUUACUAGGCAAUAUAGCACAGAACGCAACCGCGUCACAAAACAAACGCCCAGCGAACCAGUAAGGCAGCACAAGUACAAAAAAACCCAAGUACAAAGUACAGGCUGCCACAAAGCACGGGUCAUAAAUUAAACCCGGCACAAACCAGCCGGAAGCGUGCCAACCUCAACAAUAAACAAUUACACACACAGACAUGGGGGGGGACACAGAGAGUUAAAUACACGACAUGUAAUGAGGGAAUGAAUACCAGGUGUGUGGGAAAACAAGACAAAACAAAUGGAAAAUGAAAAGUGGAUUGGCGAUGGCUAGAAGACCGGUGACGUCAACCGCCGAACGCCGCCCCGAACAAGGAGAGGAACCGACUUCGGUGGAAGUCGUGACGUCAACAUUUUAGAAGGAGAAACGCUAACUAAAUACGUCUAUCGUCUAAUUGGAUUAGCCGUUGACCGUAUCUAUAGUAAUCUUUUAAAAACUUGUGUUGUCAUCAAAAUGCAUCGAGGGUGUAAUAUCAGUGAGUCAAAUUGUGGUUUGAGCCAUACUACCUUCAAUAGAAUUCAUAUCUGUAUUUAUUCUACGUAAUUAUCCUUAUUAACAAAGUGGGUGAGCUGGUUGUUUUGAUGGAUUACACAGUACUGUAACACUCAGUCAAGAUGACUAAUAACGCCUUAUAAACGUAACGAUGGUAUCAUUUCUGUCAUAUAAUAUAACAAAUCUCCUUUCAGCAAAAGGGGGAUUCAUUCUAUAGAGAUUGGUAUUAUCAUCAUAAUAAAAUGAACGGAGAGAUCAAGACUAGAUCGUCUGUCAUUGCCUUAUUAAUUUAUAUGUAUUAACUUGUUGUUGGGAUCCUCCUGUGUUAUGCUGUACCAGGGAUGGGCAUCUCUAGUCCUUCGGGGGGCCUGAUUGGUGAUACACUUUGUCCCCAGCUAACACACCUGACUCCAAUAAUCAACUAAUCCUGGUCUUCUGUUUAGAUGCGUUUUAAUCAGGUGUGUCGGCUAUAACGGUUCGGACUGCAGUUGCCCAUCCCUGCCUUGACUAUCCUCAUGUUGCAUAUAGAUUCUUGGCUGACGUUUUUUCACUCAUGACAUUAUAGUAAAAUUAUCGUUCACUUGAAUGAACGAUGAAUUCUGAUGAAUAUUAUGAUAAACAUGUCAAUGUGUUGUUAGUUGGUGAUAUUCUGUAGAGCUCUGCAAAGUUUAUUACAGUAAAACAUAUACAGGAAGAGUGAGAUUGUUAAAACAGUAUUUUGGUGUCAUUUGAUACGAACUAAAUGUAAUUUCUGGAGAUGUUGUUGAAGUGUUUCAGAAUGUACAGUUUAUAAUACCAGCCAUGGGGUUUAAAAUGUCUCCGUCUCGUUGACUCUGUAUUGAGGGUUCCAUACCUCCUUUUAUCACUGUUGUUGAUUGGUUCAAAGAAGAUACAUAAUUACAUAUUUAUAUGUACCAACCUAACUUAUUAGAAUUUAUUCAAAUUGGAACUCAUUACAUUUGGUUGGUACGUAUCAUGAUGAUGCUGACAAUGUUGAUGAUGGUGAUGAUGAAGAUUGUGAUGAUGAAGAUGAAGAUGAAGAGUGUGAUGAUGAUGAUGAAGAUUGUGAUGUCGAUGAUGAGGAAGAUGAUGAUGACGAUGGUGAUGUUGAUGAUGAGAAUGAUGAUGAAGAUUGUGAUGUUGAUGAUGUUGAUGUUGAUGAAGAGUGUGAUGAUGAUGAAGAUGAAGAUGGUGAUGUUGUUGAUGAUGAUGAAGAUGGUGAUGUUGAUGAAGAUUGUGAUGUUGAUGAUGAAGAGUGUGAUGAUGUUGAGGAUGAUGAUGAUGGUGUUGAUGAUGAUGAUGAAGAGUGUGAUGUUGAUGAUGAAGAGUGUGGUGUUGAUGAGGAUGAUGAAGAUUGUGAUGUUGAUGUUUAUGAUGAGGAAGAGUGUGAUGUUGAUGAUGAGGAUGAUGAUGAAGAGUGUGAUGUUGAUGAUGAGGAUGAUGAUGAUGAUGAUUAUCAUUAAACCACAGUUGUCAUUA